rnacentral:rRNA from 1 species
CAAGACAUGAAGUCAGGUUGGCAAACCCGCUGAAUUUAAGCAUAUAAGUAAGCGGAGGACAAGAAACUAAAUAGGAUUCCCUUAGUAAUGGCGAAUGAACAGGGAUGAGCUCAACUUGAUAAUUGUGGCUUCUGGCUUUGAAUUGUAAUCUCAAGAUGUAGUGCCAAGGAGGGCGUAGGUGUAAGCCUCUUGGAAAAGAGAAUCAUUGAGGGUGAGAAUCCUGUUUGUCACCUGCAGUCCCCCCUGUACGGCCUACCUUCUAAGAGUCACGUUCCUCGGGAUUGGAGCGCAAACUGGGUGGUAAAUUUCAUCUCAAGCUAAAUAUGGGUUCGAAACCGAUAGCAAACAAGUACCAUGAGGGAAAGAUGAAAAGGACUUUGAAAAGAGAGUUAAAAGUGCCUGAACUUGCUGAAAGGAAAGCGGAUGGAACCAGUGUUGCUCGGUGAGAUUGUUGCGUGCUAUGGUGAUGGCCUGCUGCAUCAGCGCAAGCGUUGCUGUGGGUUUUGAUCUUGUUGCGCGUGAUGCUUCUUGCCUUGUGUGUCAUCGUCGGUUCGGUGGUGAGGACAACCCUUGGGACAUGGUAACUCGCCUCUGGGUGUGUGAAUGUGCCUUGUGGAACUCACCUUCGAACUGCAAACCGAAUGUGCGGUUGCGCUGCCUUUGCCGUGUGUCGCUGCCUCUCGGCGGCUGGCGUGCGCGCGAGGCACCUUCUGCACACAGCUAUGGUGACUAAA